UAGAAAUCCAAGCAUAAUGCCUGGUUGUUAAGAUGAGAAGAGCCAGAUGUUGCCCACAUAUCAGUCGCCCUUUCCUUACACAAUUGGUGGAAUCAAAUAUAUCUAACCUAAUCCUUACAUAACAUGAUUUUAUUUAAGUUAUACUGAGCUGAUUAAAAUGAAGAUCGCAGUUCUCCUUCUUCUGGUGUGUCUUGCAAAUCUCUGUGUUGUAUCGGUCAGUUGUUGUAAAAGGACUGGUGAAGACUGUGUAAGUAAGAAGUGGUGCUGUGAAGAUAAUGAUUGUGUCGUUAAUAGAAGAAGAGAUAAAGGAGAUGGUGGAGAAAAAAUAUGUUGGCCUGCAAAGUAAAAAGAAAAUGAAUGAAAGAAUCUUUAAGAAAAAAUAAACAUCUGAUUCUGGCAUUGA